CCGAUGCAGGGGACACGGGUUUGUGCCCCGGUCCGGGAAGAUCCCACAUGCCGCGGAGCGGCUAGGCCUGUGAGCCAUGGCCACUGAGCCUGCACGUCUGGAGCCUGUGCUCCGCAAUGGGAGAGGCUGCAAUAGUGAGAGGCCCGCGUACCGCAAAAAAAAAAAAAAAAAAAGGAAAGUUCCUCUUUUUUUCCCUUAGCACGUCUAGUAUCUAAUCAACUACCAAAGGCAACUACUAGUUAAUUUCAGUUGCUGUUUUCCAGUUCUAAAAUUUCCAUUCGAUUAUUUUUUAACAAUUCCUGUUAAACUUUAAAAUUUUUAAUUUAAAGAUCUCUUUUUAAAAUUUUUUUGAAAAUAUUGAUUGAUUGAUUUUGGCUUUGCCAGGUCUUAGUUGCAGCAUGUGGGAUCUUUGUUGGCUUCUUAGUUGUGGCAUGUGGACUCUUAGUAGCGGCACGCGGGUUUUACUUCCCUGACCAGGGAUCGAACCUGGGCCCCCUGCACUGGGAGUGUGGAGUCUUACCCAGUGGACCACCAGGGAAGUCCCCUAAAGAUCUCUUCAAAUUCUCCAUCUUUUCCUUUGGGAACAUAGUUAUUUCAGUCUCUGAUAAUUCCAACAUUGGAAUCAAGUCUGGGUCUGUUUCUAUCUUUUUUUAAAAAAAUUUAUUAAUUUAUUUUUGGCUGCAUUGGGUCUUUGUUGCUGCGCCCGGGCUUUCUCUAGUUGUGGCGAGCAGGGGCUACGCUUCGUUGUGGUGCGUGGGCUUCUCGUUGCAGUGGCCUCUCUUGCUGCGGAGCACGGGCUCUAGGCAUGCGGGCUUCGGUAGUUGUGGCACGCCAGCUCAGUAGUUGUGGCUCGCGGGCUCUAGAGCACAGGCUCAGUAGUUGUGGCGCACAGGCUUAGUUGCUCCGCGGCAUGUGGGAUCUUCCCGGAUCAGGGCUCAAACCCUUGUCCCCUGCAUUGGCAGGUGGCUUCUUAACCACUGCGCUACCGGGGAAGUCCCUCCAUUAUAGGUUAUUACAAGAUACUGAAUAUAGUUCCCUGAGUUAUGCAGUAGGUCCUUGUUGUUUAUUUUCUGUAUAGUAGUAUCUGUUAAUCCCGAAUUCCUAAUUUAUCCCUCCCCCUUUCCCCAUUGAAAAGUUCUCUAUGUCUGUGAGUCUGUUUUGUACAUAAGUUCAUUUGUAUCAUUUUUUAAAAUCCCACAUAUAAGCGUUAUCAUAAUGCUAUCUAUCUUCCUCUUUCUGAUUUACUUCACUUAGUAUGAUCAUCUCUAGGUCCAUCCAUGUUGCUGCAAACGGCAUUAUUUCAUUCCUUUUUUAUGGCUGAAUAAUAAUAUUCCAUGGAAUAUAUAGACUUUUUUUGUUUUGUUUUGACAUGGACCAUUUUUGAAGUCUUUAUUGGUUUUUUUGGCCCCAAGGCUUGUGAUCUUAGCUCCCUGACAUGCAGCAAGCAGGAUCUCCCCAACCAGGGAUCAAACCCAUGCUCCUUGUAGUGGAAGCGCAGAGUCCUAACCACUGGACCGCCAAGGAAUUCCCUCAGCUAUUGUAAAUAGUCCUAUGAACAUUGGGGUACAUGUGUCUUUCCAAGUUAGAGUUUUCUCCAGAUAUAUGCCCAGGGAUUGCUGGAUCAUGUGGUGACUCUAUUUUAUUUUUUAAGGAACCUCCAUACGGUUCUCCAUAGUGGCUUCACCAAUUUACAUUCCCACCAACAGUGUGGGAGGCUUCCCCUUGCUCCACACCCUCUCCAGCAUUUAUUUGUAGACUUUUGGUGAUGGCCAUUCUGACUGGUGUGAGGUGAUCUCUCAUUGUGGUUGACUUGCAUUUCUCUAAAUUAGCAAUGUGAUGUUGAGCAUCUUUACCGGUCUGUUGGCCAUCUCUGUCUUCUUUGGAGAAAUGUCUAUUUUGAUCUUCUGCCCGUUUUUGACUGGGUUUGUAUUUUUUAUAUUGAGCUGUAUGAGCUGUUUGUAUAUUUUGGAAAUUAAUCCCUUGUCAGUCACAUCAUUUGCAAAUAUUUUCUCCCAUUCCAUAGGUUGUCUUUUCAUUUUGUUUCUUUCCUUUGCUGUGUAAAAGCUUUUCAUUAGGUUCCAAUUGUUCAUUCUUGCUUUUGUUUCUAUUACUCUAGGAGUCAGAACCAAAAAAAUUUCAAUGCGAUUUAUGGCAAAGUGUGUUCUGUUUUCCUCUAGGAGUUUUGUAGUAUCCGGUCUUACCUUUAGGUCUUUAAUCCAUUUUGAGUUUAUUUCUGUAUAUGGUAUUAUAGAAUGUUUUGUCUUUUGUACAUUGCUCUCAUGUUUCAUUUCCUCACCCUUCUUCCUGCUCCCCAACUCAGACUGACAGCUUCCCUUUCACACACAGCUGUAGCUUCCACUGAGUAUUCUAAUGCCUAAGCCCCAUCCCCGCACCAAGACAGGGGUAUGAACAGCCCCACGAGGAAUGCGUGGGAGAGACGUAAAAAAGGAAAGAUACAAAGGGAUCAAGGACCCUUAGGGAGGGCUUCCUUACCCCAUCUGAAACAGCUCUGGUGUACCGGGGCUAGCCGCAGCCUUAGGUCAUAAAGCUCAAGUGAAAACCAACCAAAGCAGGGCUAUCAAAAGGCAGAAGGUGACCCUCUUCUGGGUAAGAAAGUAAGAGCAGUGAAAAAACCAAAUGCCCAUUAUCAACAAGAAAUUAAUUUUAUUUUUAAAUCCAAGACACCAGAACAAAUAAGGAGACUCCUACCCUUGGCUGGCAAACUUAAGUGGUGACCAAGAACGUUUGGGGAGAGGAUGACAGCAACAGGGAGGGUAGGAACACGUCCAAUCAACUGGUGGGAGGCUCUCUUCACUCUGGCGCAGCCUCCAUCAAAUACCCGUUCUCUGGAGCAAGGUACCCGUCACCUCCCUCGGACUCCAUGUACAUGUCUCGGCCGUCGCUGCCCAGGCCCUCCAGCCCGUUGUCCUGCCCACCGCCACCCGCCCCACCUCGAGCCUCAUCCCUGCCCCGUUCACCACCCCGCUCCCCUCGCUUGUGCUCCCGAUCGCGCUCGCGAUCGCGGUCCCGGCGCCGCUCCCGGUCGCUCCGGUGGCUCCGACGGCGCUCCCGAUCCCGAUCCCGGCCCUUCUCCUCUGGGCCAUCGGGGCCGUCGGGACCCAGCUCCCCGGGAGGCCCAUCAUCAGGAGGCGCGUCGCCGGCCUCGGAGGGCUCUGCCAUGUCGCCGCCACCUCCGCUGCCUCGCAGCUCCUCCUUGCGUUCCCGCUCCCGCCGCGCCCGCUCACGGCUCCGGCUGCUGCGCCGCUUCCGAUCCCGGUCCUUGUCCUUGCUCCGCUCCCUGGAGCGCCGCCGCUCCUCCUUGUCACGACUCCGCGAGCGCCGCCGCCGGUCCCGAGAGCGGGAGCGUCGUCGUUCUCGCUCCUUGUCUCGCUCGCGGCUCCGCUCCCUGCGCUCCCGCUCGCGGUCCCGGUCCCGGUCCCUGUGGGGAAGCGGGGAGGGGCCGGGCCUGGAUGAGGUGGGCAGAGGUUUGCGGCAGGGCUCCCCCACUGACCGCCCCCGUCCCAGGACACCGGCUGCCCAAUCUCACCUCUCAUCGUAGCGGGAGGUGUCGUCCCGGCCGGAGUGCCGGAUGUUGACGUCAGCGCCACCUCUCCGGGUUCCGCCUAGGCCACCUCCUGGGGGCGGGGGCAGGCCACAGCGGGUUAGUCCGGGCGGGGCCCACAGCAGGGCGAGCGAGGGGCAGCAAGGGGCGCGGCAAAGGCCACCAAGCACCUCUGCCGGCGCCUACGGGGCCAGGUGCCUGAGGACCUUCUGCCGCACUUCUCUAACACAACACGCACGCUCUUCAGAGAUCAGAGGACUUCCACAGCGCGAGCUGGGAGCUCCUGUAACUGACUCCAAAGCUCACCAUCUUCACCACUACAGACGCGCACAGCCUCCUGGCAAAUCCUGUCUUCCAGUCAUCCUCACCCUCACCCUCAGGCACGGCAAUGGUCUAACUGAAAACGUGAUCUGCUCCAAAGCCACCAAUGGCUCCCUACAGCCUAAAGCAACGUCCGUCAGAUGGCUGGCUCCUUCCUGCCUUUAGAGCAAGGCGCCCUGGCUCUCCACGUCCCAGAUCUCCUCAUGGUCUCCAUUGCCUUCCUGCCCCAGUUUUGGGGAUCAUUCACCUCUUUACCUGGAAUCUCAUUUCCCUUGUCUAGUUAACUGCUACUUACCCCUUCGCACAUUAACCCAAACAACGCUUCCUCAGCAAGCCUGCCCUGACCUACCAGAUGAAGCUGUUCUCCACGACUCACAUACAUUUCCUUCUCAGAACUUCAGGUGGAAUUUCCGAUUUUACAUGGACAUGUGUGAGUUAACAGCUGCCUCUCCCACCAGCCUGUAACGCACCAUCAAAGUCAGGACGAUGUCUGGCUCUGCUCGCUGUAACUGGACGUGGUACAGCAUCCAGGAUAUAAAAUCGUAUGUGCAGCAGUCAAAUGACUGAACAGCUGUAAGGAGUAGUGGACGGUCUCCUUAUUCAGACGGGGAAACAAUCUCAGAUAAAGCCACCUGCCCGGGGUGACUCUGCAAGGAAGGGCAGAGCUGAGACCCAGGAAGCUGCCCUCUCAUGCACGCUUCUGCCCCACACUGCCUGGAAGGAAGCUUCAGUGAGGUGGGCUGGGGUUCCAUAUAAGGAAUGACUUUCAGCAACGAGGGUGAAAAAGGAAAAGAGGCGGCCUGGAUAUCAAAGACAUUCAAAUAGGGACAAGCAACCGACCAGGCUUCUGGAAUAUCACAGCAAUGCACUGGGUCAAGAUGCACCAGGUGUCACCAUCAGAAAGUCGGAAGCAGCAGACUCUGAAGGACUCACUCCACCCCAGAGAAACCAGUGAGAUAAGAACCCAUCUGUUAAGCUCAGAGACUCAGCAGGCUGAGUGUGUGGUCUACUCAACAAAGGCAAGUCAAGCACCACGACAGCGGGCUGGGAGACAGAAAUAAGAGCAGAGGGUCCUGGAGCCACCGGGGGUGUCUGCACAGGGAAGAUCAUUUUCUCUGACAACUGUGUCACUCACCCUCAUAGGAGUUGGCCCUCAAUAGCCAUGUUUGGAUGGCAGGACCUCAGCCCCAGGUCCAGGUCCAAUGCUGAGCCACUUAGAUCCACCCGCCCCAAAACGUAGAGAGACUCAUCAAGGACUGGACUGUGGAAUGCCACACUGGGCCAGUGCGGAGAGACACAGAAGGGAACAGUCCACACGAACAGCGAACAAGGCAGAAGCAAGCUGCAGAGGUGCCAAAGGCGGCUCCUGACCGUUCAGGUUCGGCUUCCAGGUCCUCUUGAGGCCCACAGGCAUCGCCUGUCUCUGGGCUCCAAGACACUGGGAUUCUGUAUCAACAAGUCCCCUUUAUGCUUUAGGAAGCUCAAAUGUAUUUCUGGUGCUUGCUACCAAACUGACCUUGACUGAUGGCGACUGACAAAUUAGAGACAGAGAGUGGGGGGGACGGAAUGCAGGAGGCUCUGAGGGCAGAGACCAUCUAUGUAUGUCUUGCUCUUGACUAGAAGCCUGGUACACAGCUGGGGACCAAACUGGCGUUUGCUGAAUCAAUGAAUGAAUGAACGAACGAGCAGGAGCAAAGGGAUGAGGAAAAUGAGGCAGGAGGAAGGGAAGAUCCACCAGCCAGGAAGUACGUAAGCUGGAAUCUGAUCGCAGACUGGCUUCUCAACCACAGUACUCUUGCUCCUAACUAGUAACCCAGAGUAAGAAACCAGACCAGGAGAAAGAUGGUGACGAGAAAGGCUGAGCUAGAGAGAGGGAGAGAGCAUGUGAGCAGCUGGGAGAGGAAGAGAAGACAGAAAGCAGCAGAGGGUACAGAAAAGAGAGGUGAGAAAGCAACCAGCAGGACACCGAGCCCAGCCUGUGCAGGAUGUGCUCACCUAGCCGCCGGGGCCUCCAGCCCUUCACCGUGCGGCCCCUCUCCACGUCCACAAGGACUCUCCUGCCAUCAAUCUUCUUGCCGUCUGCGUGCUUGUAAGCGGCUGCAACAGAUGUGGGGAGGGGGAGGGGAAGGGGGAGGAGUCCCCAGAGGGUCCUCUAGUCAGGCUAAAGCACAGCUCUGUGGCAUCCCCACCCCCCGGCCGUGUCCCCAUCCACACACUUACACACGCGCACACACAGACACACAUGCCCACCAGACAGCCAGGCAACCGACAGCCAGACCAACCCUCUCGCAAACCAGGAGGGGCCUGCUCCAUCUCGGCACCUGCUUCCUUACCAACCCCCAAUCACUAUUGGGGGGGCGAGACCACUCCCAGGCACCAUCCUGACCCUAACCACCCCCCUGGGCUCCCAGGCCAUUCCUACUCCGACUCGACAGAGCAGCCCCCUCCCGCCAAGGUGGCCAAAGUCGCUGCAAAGAAACUGGAGGUUAACUCAAGGCUGGACUCUGCUGUGGGGGAGGGUUCCUCCACAACCCCAGGCAUGCACCCUAAAACAUCAUGCUGGGGGAGGAGGCCCAGCCGGGCCGCUCUGCACCCCAGUUCACACCGGUUUCCUUUUUCUGUGUUUUUUUUGGGGGGAGGGUGAGCGUGGGGGGAACAGACAUCAGAACAGAAAAUGAACCAGAAGGGGGUGGGAGAAAUCUUUAGGAGAUGGCAGGGAGCAGAAGGGCGGGUUAUGGUGCUCCCGGGGGCCUGGAGGGGCCCCUACAGCAGGCGGGGGAGAGGGCAAGUGGAGGGAGGCACGGGAGAUGUGCAGUGCUACUGAAAAUUCCUGCCUUACCUGAGAUGACAGCCACCCAACCCCAGCCCCUGUCCCAUCUCACUCCACACCCCCAGCUCAACACACGCCGGGAGGCCAAGCCCAGCCUGAGCCUCUCGGGAAGGGUGAGGAGUAGAGGGGGAGAUGCGGGGAGAGGCACGUCCUGCGCUCGGGCAGGGCACAGCAAAGGACAGGCCUGAUCCCCGGCCUGUCUCACGUGGGGCUGUCGGGAAGGCCAAAAAAGUCCCUAUUUCCCACCCCCAGCCCUGGCCUAGGGGGUCGUCCUCAACCAGCCACAAUACCCGGCCCCGCCCCAGCCCUCUCCCCCCCAAAUAACAACCAGAGGAAGAGAAAAAGGUGCCAUUUACCGAUGCCGGCCUUGCGGGUGUCCAAACCGAGCGGGAUGGGGGGGGCUCGGCAACUCCUGGGGGCCUGGCGAGGAGGCGGGCUUCCCGGGGGGGGACACGGGACCGCUUACCUGGAGCCCCCAAGCUUACCUGAGCACGCGCACAGACCCCACACCCACCACCACGGGGUCAGCUAAAGCUACAGGGAAGGGAUUCUAGGGAGCCAUGGAGGGGGAGAGGAACCACAUCUCCUGCACCACCUGGAGACAGGCAGAGGAAGUGGUGGACCCCAAAGAAACCUCACGGAGGCCUUGAAAGAGGGGGAGACAAGGGUUAACAUCAAGUCUGGGAGCUGGAAAGCCGUGGGACUAUCUUGUUUGAUUUUAAAAAGAAGGCUAGGGAGGCCUUGGCAAACCUGUCCACCUUCACCUUUCCCCAGUAAAGUCCAUGCUGAACUAGGCACACGCCCACCCCCUCUCAGCACGUGGAAUGACUCCUCCACCUCGAACUCCACACUCCCUCCCACCACCUGCUUCAGCCCAAAGGCUGGCACCCAAGGGGACAGCCUUGGGGGUCCAGGAGAUGGAGUGCUGCCCAUGAUCCGAGGGGGAGGGGCCGCUUGGCCCCUGAACCCAGAGGAGGGUGGUAGGGGAAGGAAGUUAAGGGCUGGGAACACCGUCAAGCGAAGGAACCCUGCUCUGGUUGUGUCCCAAACCCCAGAAGAGGCCCAACCCGGGAGUAACAGCAGAGAAAACAUGUGACGUGUGUAUUUCUAGGCUUCACUCUCUCUCCCUCUCUUAGGUCUCUAGACAGUGGAAGGGUCUUCAGGAAAAUCUACACCACCUUCUGCUGCUUACGGCCUGUCACUCGAACCCUCCCGCACCCCAGUCCCCAAUCCCAUGCACUCCGGAGAGCAGCUGGGCCGCUGGGCUCCACGGCCUCUCGGGAGGCCUCAACCAUGAUAAGGCAGACAGGAAGGGGGCAGAGCACCCCGAAUCUAGCAAGCAAAACGAUUCUCCAGGGCCACCACAGUGACAGCCCCGCGAAGGCGCAGGGGCAGGGAGCGGAGGGCUGAAGGGUUCCACAUGGAGCCCUGGUCCCCGUGCAUCCCGUCUUCAGUAUUCCCGCCACCUUGCCACUGACAUCAUGAAGCCAGGUAAGUCAGGGGGCUGGGUCGAGCCCAACUGCCUUUCCCGUCGGGGUUCAUCUCUCCCCUCCUGGGAUCAGCAGGAUUACUGGAGAGCAGAUGGAUGGGGGGCAGAUGGGACCAAGGGCACCCAAACGAGGAAAGGGCUCUGGGUGCGGGGAGGCUGAGGGGGGCGCCUGGGGAUGGGAGGAGGGAUGCCUCGCUGCUCCUGAGCUGCCUGGCUAAGCUGGGCUGGUGUGCGGUGCUGAAUGAUCUUACCCAUGAUACAAACCCUUAUACCAACCAUACACUGAGGUGUUGUAAGGGGAGCGUAAGCAUCAGCUGCAAGCCAGCUGCG